GCCUUCGUGGUGUAAUGGUAGUACACUCCACGCGUAGUCGAGAAGUACGUGGUUCGAGUCCCGGCGAGGGCA
rnacentral:tRNA from 1 species